rnacentral:rRNA from 1 species
GUGGGGAAUCUUCCACAAUGGACGAAAGUCUGAUGGAGCAACGCCGCGUGAGUGAAGAAGGGUUUCGGCUCGUAAAGCUCUGUUGUCGGGGACGAAUGUGCAGUAUUUGAAUAAAGUACUGUAAUGACGGUACCUGACGAGGAAGCCACGGCUAACUACGUGCCAGCAGCCGCGGUAAUACGUAGGUGGCAAGCGUUGUCCGGAAUUAUUGGGCGGAAAGGGAGCGCAGGCGGGAAGGUAAGUCGGUCUUAAAAGUGCGGGGCUCAACCCCGUGAUGGGAUCGAAACUAUCUUUCUUGAGUGCAGGAGAGGAAAGUGGAAUUCCUAGUGUAGCGGUGAAAUGCGUAGAUAUUAGGAGGAACACCAGUGGCGAAGGCGACUUUCUGGACGGUAACUGACGCUGAGGCUCGAAAGCCAGGGGAGCGAACGGGAUUAGAAACCCGUGUAGUCC